UAUCACUAAGCGGAGGAAAAGAAACUAACAAGGAUUCCCUCAGUAACGGCGAGUGAAGCGGGACAAGCCCAGCACCGAAUCCCCCGGCAUGCAGCCGGUGGGAAAUGUGGUGUGCGGGACGCCAACUGUCGUCCGCGUUGGAGACCGAAGUCCUCCUGAUCGGGGCCAAUCCCACAGCGGGUGUCAGGCCUUUACUGGUCUCUGGCCGGGCGGCUGCGAGCGUCUCAGGAGUCGGGUUGUUUGGGAAUGCAGCCCAAAGCGGGUGGUAAACUCC
rnacentral:rRNA from 1 species